rnacentral:sRNA from 17 species
GUCAACAACCCCUAAGCCCUUCGGGACUUAGGGGCUUUUCAUCUUAGGAUUGAUAGCCCAGUUGACCAGGCUUAGUUUUACUACGUUAGGGAUGAAUAUAUAGGCACUCCGUCGAUACUUCACCAGUCACGGACUCUGCG